CUCGCUGCUGCUGCUGCUACCGCCGCUGCACCGGCUGCGCCAUCCGGGACUCAGACUCCUGCGCCAGCAGUCAGGGGGCCCUGACUCUAGCUUCAGAGACCCUGUUCCAGCGCUUGCGAGCAUGUCGUCAGAAAAGUCAGGCCUUCCAGACUCGGUUCCCCACACUUCACCUCCGCCCUACAAUGCCCCCCAACCUCCAGCCGAGCCCCCCAUCCCUCCCCCACAAACCGCUCCAUCCUCUCAUCAUCAUCACCACCACCACUACCACCAGUCUGGCACUGCCACCCUCCCGCGCUUAGGAGCAGGUGGCCUGGCCUCUGCUGCGGCUGGCGCUCAACGUGGUCCUUCGUCCUCUGCCACGCUACCGCGGCCCCCCCACCAUGCCCCUCCCGGUCCCGCUGCUGGGGCUCCCCCACCCGGCUGUGCUACCCUACCCCGCAUGCCACCCGACCCUUAUCUGCAGGAGACUCGCUUCGAGGGUCCACUUCCCCCACCACCGCCUGCGGCCGCCGCCCCACCCCCACCAGCGCCUGCCCCGACGGCCCAAGCCCCAGGCUUCGUGGUGCCCACGCACGCGGGGGCGGUGGGCACGUUGCCGCUGGGGGGCUACGUGGCUCCGGGCUACCCGCUGCAGCUGCAGCCGUGCACCGCUUAUGUCCCGGUGUAUCCGGUGGGCACGGUGAGUAUGGGGCUGACAGGACCUAGGAGGACAGGGAGGCAGGUGCAACAGGGACGCACACACUCUGGAAGCUGGGAGAGAGUGAAACAGAACCAGGCUGUCCGCCCUUCUGGUAACAAACCCUGGACAGAAGAGUGGAGAGAGGAGAGACAAUGGGUGGGAAAGUGGUGGACCUUGGGGGGAAGCGGGGAGGAGUCUGGGGGAUCAAAGGUCAAGGUUUGGGCCGUGGUUCAGAAAUCAGUUGGUCUGAAAGAAGGAAAACAGCUUGGAGGGAGAGAGAGAGAUGGAACCUGGGAAGCCAGGGGUAAAAGAGGGCAGAAGCCUGGGCCUGGAGAUGCUAAGGAAGAUGGAAACAAGACCGGAAGGACAGACAGACCCAUAAGCCAUACCUUGUAGGACACUGUGGGAACUUCCCCGAAUAUUCAAGUUAAUGAUACGUGAAGAGAGGCCUAGGCCGAUUUUACUGUCAGGAACGAUUUUUUUUUCCCCUUAAGCAAAAUCGUGUUUUUAAAAACCUCUUUGCCAAUUGGCCAGCUGCUGGCAAGCAGCAAGACUGUUGGUGUGACGUCCCUUUCCCCCACUGUCCUUCCCACAGCCCUACGCAAGCGGGACCCCCGGGGGUCCAGGAGUGACCUCCACUCUGCCCCCGCCGCCCCAGGGCCCAGGGUUGGCUCUGUUGGAGCCCAGGCGCCCGCCGCAUGACUACAUGCCCAUCGCUGUGCUGACCACCAUCUGCUGCUUCUGGCCCACAGGCAUCAUCGCCAUCUUCAAGGCCGUGCAGGUGCGCACGGCCUUGGCCCGCGGAGACUUGGUGUCCGCCGAGAUCGCUUCGCGCGAGGCCCGGAAUUUCUCCUUCAUCUCCCUGGCCGUGGGCAUCGCAGCUAUGGUGCUUUGUACCAUCCUCACUGUAGUCAUCAUCAUUGCCGCCCAGCACCACGAAAACUACUGGGAUCCCUAAAAACGUCCCCGUCUCGGCCCCGCUCCGUGCCCCCUCCCAACCUCCCAGGCGCGUGGCGCAGUCCUGCCGCCUACCCAGAGCGCGCCCUGCACAUCCUCCUGAGGCGCCGCUGGACUUCCAGACAUCAUAAACUCCGCCCCCACGGAACCUCUGGCCCAGAGAGUACGCUCAGUUCCUCAGGAACCCCUCUAGCACCCACAUCCUCAGCGGCACUGGAAUCCGCGCCAAACCCCGACCCUCCAGUCGCCCCAAUUCCCCACCCCAUCAAAGUGCAGUGCCAGCCAGGGGCGGAUCUCUCCUGCUCUCCGCUCCCCAGUAGGGAGUCAGGUCCCAGAAGCUCCGCCUCAUCUAUAAGCUCCGCCCCAAAUCCCACAAACCCCGCCUCCAGGUCGGCAGGCUCCGCCUUCUUUUCUUCUUUGGGGUUUUUCAGUCUGGUGAUUGGGUCUGUGAAUCCAGGCCCCCAGCCCACAAUACAGACGGACUAGUCCCCCUACCUCCCUAAAAGGACUCAGCCCUGGGAGAACUACACCCCCACUCUAGCUCGGAUUUUUGCCAGUGCGGAUUUUUCUCCCCGCCCCCAACCCCCAUCUCUGCCUAUUUUCUUGCUAAUUACAGAACUUCCCAUUUUGCGGCUUUUGGAGUGAGAUGAGGCAAGUUCCAGGUUUAGUACCCCUCACUCUGGAAAGAGAACCAAGUCCCUAUAAUGUAAAUACCCUUUCUACAUGUGCCAACCCCUGGGCAGCGGGGGCAGAAGAGAAUCCAGGGUUAAAGGGAGGGAGUCGACGCUCCCCCGCUCCCCUCUGCCCUAGACUUGUUUUGAUCUGUGUGUGCCAGUGUGUGUGAACUUCUGAAAGACAGUAUUAAAGACAUUUUAGUGGAUUUAUCACCCGCAGUUCCAAAGACCACA
rnacentral:lncRNA from 1 species